UCCCUGGUGGUCCAGUGGUUAAAACUCCACACUUCCACUGUGGAGUUCCUGGGUUCGAUGCCUGGAUAGGAAA
rnacentral:tRNA from 1 species